AAUUUAUGAUUUUGUGUGUUAUUUUCUAUAUGAAAUGUUAGUGUAAAGUAAUAUAUACUUGAAAUUUUAACUGUUCAAAUAAUUUCCUAUAAACUUCCUUUAAAAUUGUUUUUCAUAAAACGAUGUGAAAUUUUGUCACUAAAAAAUGAAAAUUGCAAAAUUACAAAAGCCUGAAUUAUGCUUGAAGGUUCGACUCGCAAUCACAUCAAAAACAAUCAUCUUCAUGAUGACGAUGGAUUAUCAAAUAACGAUGAAAUACGUCCGGAUGUAAACGAGUCAAUAUGUUACAUAAUUGUCAGACCAGUUAAUUACCUCACUCCAGCCUGUAUCGUUGCGAUCUUGUUCCCUGGCGAGAUAAUAAAUGACAAAAGAUGAUAUCGAUUUUCAGAAUUAAAACACCGCCGCUGGACCAGAACACAUUCACGCACAAUGGAAACGAGUAUUUAAUUCAGCAAUUUCUAUAUUUUACCAAUUUAUUUCUAUCGUGGUAUUUUUAUUUCAUUGUGCAAAUAAUUCUAUCCAUACUUUUCAUUUAUUACUUACUUUUGCUUGAAUCAUUUUUCAUAACGUCUCUGGUAAUAUUAAGUUAAAAUAUUCUUUUAAAAUAUUAAAAUAUUCUUAUUGUAUAAACCAUAUUACAUGAUCUUCCAAUUUUUUAAUAUUAUUUAUAUUCUUGAAUUUCUUCAAUCUGAACAUGCAUACCCAUCUUUCCUAAGAAUCUGCACAAUUUAAUAUGUCCUUAUCAAUGUUCUGUUUUACCAUCAAAAUCCAUUAAGCUAAGCAGAACAUCCCACUAUCUCAAUAUAUACUAUCUUAACAUUCCAAAAUUCUAAUUAAGAGCUAAAAUUUAUAUUGGUGUUGGCCUUCAACCUAGAUAAUUAUAAACGUAACCCUCAAAAAUGACAAAACUCAAUAUCCUCUCACUAUUCUUCUCAAUUUCAACAUCUUCAACUAUAAAUCUUUCACAAUACACCAAACUAUAUGAAAAAAUACCUCUAUUGCAAUAUCAAUAGUGCUCUGCGGCAAUAUUCUAUAACCUCCCAGGAGUACUCCAUAACCUAACCUAGUGAAAAUGAUUUGCACAGACUGGGGACGCGGGAUCGAUAUCCAGCAACCAACAGUGUCGACAGCCAAGAGAUUCCAUCGAUCGAGGAGGCAAUUAAUUACGGAAGAUGAUCGGUAAUUAACAGUAACUGGAGCUGGAUAACGUUCAUACGGCACGCUAAUACCGAAUAUACGACGCGCCACGGCUGUGGCUGACUCUUUAUGGUGGGGUGUGCUCGUGACGUGAAUUAUUAGCCCUUCGGUCCUCGACACAGCCUCCGGGGAUAGGUUCGUGAACGGGCGUGGCUUAGCCGGCAGGCGUGGCCCGAACGCCACCCUUGAAAAACCACCAGUCACCCUCCCUGCAUCGGGAUACACGGGGCGAAUUGAUUCCGCACGGAUUUUCCCUUUCUUACACGUUCUGCUUUCUUUCUAGACGAAGAUCUGCCUUCCUUUCGUCGGAUUACACGUCGCUUCGCGUGACAUAACCUCUUUUUGGUUCCUGCAAAAAGAUAAAAGUUAGACUAGGAAGCGGAAUAUUUGGUUUAAUUGAUUGUUUUCUAGUAUUUGAGAAUGGCAAAUUAGAGUAAAUCAGCAGGGAAAGUUGGAGAUUGGAGCUUUUGAACGUUUGUGGUGAAAACGGGAAGAAAUUGAUAACUUUCUUCAAGAAUUAGACCUAUACUUCACUAUGAUGUCUAAAACUUGUAUAAAACGAUGAAUGGUCGUCAUAAAACAACAAACCUUAUAUUUAACAAAACCUCCAAACAACAUCCUAUUCUCAUACUAGAGACAGCAGUUUUCGUGUUCGACGAAAUCAUAGCGGAAGUUCCGCUGGUUCUUCGGCAGUUUCCAGCAUCUUCCCCCAGGACGAGCAAGUCGUAUAAGCGGAGGAAGAGCGACGGG